ensembl:lncRNA
CCCCUAAACCCCCCCCCCCGCCUCCGGCACGGGGACGGGCGGGCGCGCGCCCCCCGGUCACUCACUUGACCUUGCGGCUCUCGGCCCUGCCCAGCGUGCUGGAGUGCUUGCGCUUCCUCGGCCGCCCCGGCCCGCGCCGCGCCGGGCUCCGCGAGCUCUCGUCGCGCCUGCAGCCGCGGCAAGACCGGGGGCAGCCUGAGACCGAGGGCUGAGCACGGCCCCAAACUCAGCACACCGCUGACCCCCCCCCCCCGCUUACCGCCACCACCGACCCGACCCGCACCCCCCCGGCCCGGCUGCGUGCCCCCCAGGAGGACAGGGACGUACUCGUGGUCGUGCCGCCUCUGCAGCUUCACCAGCUCGCGCUGCUUCUCCUUGUAGCGCCGCUGCAGCUCGGCCAGCCGCAUCCGCACCUCCACCUCCUGCGUGUUGAGCUGCUCGAUGGCCGCCUUCAGGGGGCACACCUGGGGGACGGGGAUGGGGACGGGCCGCUCGCACCGGGCACGGCUCGACCCCGCUGGCCACGGCGGCACGGGGCGAGGGGGACUACUCACGGCCUUGGUUUUGGGCGUCCAGGUGUACUUGCGGCGGGGCACGCGGGCGCGGGGCGGUGGCGAGGUGGGCAGGGGGCUGAGCGCCGGCGGGCUGCCCUCCCGGCUGGCCGCCUCCACCAGCGACCAGGCGGCCGCCACCGUGGCCAGGUUCUGCAGGUUGAAGGCCAGCAGGUCCUCGUCCUCCCCUGCCGAGACCGGAGGUCAGCGGGGACGCGCCAGGACCCCCGUGCCACCCCUGAGCCCCGGCACUUCCGUGCCAUAGCCCUGCACGUGCACUUGUGAGCAGCACCCCUGGGUGGGGCUGGGCACCCCGGGGCCACGCAGGGGAAAAAGGGGUCAGUGGGGUCGUGCAUGGGGUGCUGCACGAGAUGGGGCAGCACGCACAGGGUGCCCGUGGGGCAGCGCUGGGGAGGCGCCAGGGCCUUCCCUGCCGGGGCCCCCGGGAUUCCCUGGGGAAGCCGAGCCGGGAGGGAAUCCCGGCGCCUGCCUGGAGCCAGCGCUGGAGCAGAGCCCCGGAGACGGCCCCGGGCUGCGAGCAGGGCCCUGCAGCCGGGCACCGCGCUGCAAACGCGCACAGCCCCGCGCUGCAGACGUACAGCGCACGCGUGCGUGCGAGCCCUGCGCUGCAAAUAGAGGGUGCAAACGUGCACAGCCCGGCAUUGCACCUGUACAUCAGCAGCAUGCACAGCUCUGCGUUGCACCUGUACGGCGCAACCAUGCACAGCCCGGCAUUGCACCUGUACAUCACCAGCAUGCACAGCCCUGCAUUGCACUUGUACAUCACACCCACGCAUGCAGUUCUGCAUUGCACAUAUGUCACGCACAUGAACGCAGCCCUGCGUUGCACAUGUCACAACCAUGCACGCAGCUCUGCAUCGCAAAUAUCCGGCGCAAACGCGCACAGUCCUGCACUGCAAGUGUGCAGCGCAUGUGUGCACCCAGCCCUGCGCUGCAAAGACGUGGUGCAAACGCGCACGCAGCGCUGCAGCGGAAGCAGGCACACGACCCCGCACUGUAAAUACCCACUAGAAAUGUGCACGGCCCCUCGCGGUGCAAACAUGCACGCAGGCCCAUGCUGUGAACACGCACAGAGCCCUGCGCUGCCGGCAUGCACGCAGCCCUGCACUGCAAAGGCGUGCUGCAAGCAUGCACACAGCCCCCCCCCUCCGCUGCACAACACGUGCUCUGCCCGGCCCAGCCCCUGCGCGCAUUGUGCAGCCCCUCUGCUGCACGCACAAUGCACGACCUCUGCGUUGCACGCGCUGCACGCCCCCGAGGGCACCGAGGGGUGUGACAACGGGGCAGGGAGCACCGGGGCGCACGGGCAGGGGACGGGAGGCACCGCGGGGCGGGGGGGCGCGGGGGCCGCUCACCUUCCAGGGCCAGGUCGCAGCGGCGCCGGCGGAGCUCCAGGUCGGCCAGCUCGCUGAGCAGCGCG